AGACCCGAAACCCGGUGAUCUAGCCAUGGGCAGGUUGAAGGUUGGGUAACACUAACUGGAGGACCGAACCGACUAAUGUUGAAAAAUUAGCGGAUGACCUGUGGCUGGGGGUGAAAGGCCAAUCAAACCGGGAGAUAGCUGGUUCUCCCCGAAAGCUAUUUAGGUAGCGCCUCGUGAAUUCAUCUCCGGGGGUAGAGCACUGUUUCGGCUAGGGGGCCAUCCCGGCUUACCAACCCGAUGCAAACUGCGAAUACCGGAGAAUGUUAUCACGGGAGACACACGGCGGGUGCUAACGUCCGUCGUGAAGAGGGAAACAACCCAGACCGCCAGCUAAGGUCCCAAAGUCAUGGUUAAGUGGGAAACGAUGUGGGAAGGCCCAGACAGCCAGGAUGUUGGCUUAGAAGCAGCCAUCAUUUAAAGAAAGCGUAAUAGCUCACUGGUCGAGUCGGCCUGCGCGGAAGAUGUAACGGGGCUAAACCAUGCACCGAAGCUGCGGCAGCGAACGUAUCACUUAAAGCGAUUCAGCGGGUUACGAUUGACGGAGCGAAGCGACGUCAAAGCGUAUACAAAGUCGAGUCGGUUUAAGGAUACGUUCGUUGGGUAGGGGAGCGUUCUGUAAGCCUGCGAAGGUGGCCUGUGAGGGUUGCUGGAGGUAUCAGAAGUGCGAAUGCUGACAUAAGUAACGAUAAAGCGGGUGAAAAGCCCGCUCGCCGGAAGACCAAGGGUUCCUGUCCAACGUUAAUCGGGGCAGGGUGAGUCGACCCCUAAGGCGAGGCCGAAAGGCGU
rnacentral:rRNA from 1 species